rnacentral:rRNA from 1 species
UCCGGUUGAUCCCGCCGGACCUGACUGCUAUCGGAUUGAUACUAAGCCAUGCGAGUCUUUGCAGUAAUGCAAGGCAUACGGCUCAGUAACACGUAGUCAACUUACCCUAUGGACGAGGAUAAUCUCGGGAAACUGAGCAUAAUACCCGGCGUACCACCAUUCCUGGAAUGGUUGGUGGUUAAAAUGAUUCGUCGCCGUAGGAUGGGACUGCGACCUAUCAGCUUGUUGGUGAGGUAAAGGCCCACCAAGGCGAUUACAGGUACGGGCUCUGAGAGGAGAAGCCCGGAGAUGGGUACUGAGACACGGACCCAGGCCCUAUGGGGCGCAGCAGGCGAGAAAACUUUGCAAUGUGCGAAAGCACGACAAGGUUAAUCCGAGUGAUUUCUGCUAAAGGAAUCUUUUGCCAGUUCUAAAAAUACUAGUGAAUAAGGGGUGGGCAAGUUCUGGUGUCAGCCGCCGCGGUAAAACCAGCACCUCAAGUGGUCAGGAGGAUUAUUGGGCCUAAAGCAUCCGUAGCCUGAUCUGUAAGUUUUCGGUUAAAUCUAUAUGCUCAACAUAUAGGCUGCCGAAAAUACUGCAGUGCUAGGAAGUGGGAGAGGUAGACGGUACUUGAUAGGAAGGGGUAAAAUCCUUUGAUCUAUCGAUGACCACCUGUGGCGAAGGCGGUCUACCAGAACACGUUCGACGGUGAGGGAUGAAAGCUGGGGGAGCAAACCGGAUUAGAUACCCGGGUAGUCCCAGCUGUAAACGAUGCAGACUAGAUGAUGCAUUGGCAUAUAGCCAGUGCAGUGUCUCAGGGAAGCCGUUAAGUCUGCCGCCUGGGAAGUACGUACGCAAGUAUGAAACUUAAAGGAAUUGGCGGGGGAGCACCACAAGGGGUGAAGCCUGCGGUUCAAUUGGAUUCAACGCCGGA